GGACCCGCACAAGUAGUGGAGCAUGUGGUUUAAUUCGAUGAUACGCGAGGAACCUUACCAGGGCUUAAAUGUAGUGGGACAGGUCUAGAGAUAGACCCUUCUUCGGACUCAUUACAAGGUGCUGCAUGGUUGUCGUCAGCUCGUGCCGUGAGGUGUCAGGUUAAGUCCUAUAACGAGCGCAACCCCUACCGUUAGUUGCCAGCGAUUCAAGUCGGGGACUCUAACGGGACUGCCGGUGCAAACCGUGAGGAAGGUGGGGACGACGUCAAAUCAUCACGGCCCUUACGUUCUGGCUACACACGUGCUACAAUGGUCGGUACAGAAAGCAGCCACUAUGCGAAUAGGAG
rnacentral:rRNA from 1 species